rnacentral:rRNA from 1 species
GUCGACGGUGAAGCCCAGCUUGCUGGGUGGAUCAGUGGCGAACGGGUGAGUAACACGUGAGCAACCUGCCCCGGACUCUGGGAUAAGCGCUGGAAACGGCGUCUAAUACUGGAUACGAGACGCAACCGCAUGGUUAGUGUCUGGAAAGAUUUUUCGGUCUGGGAUGGGCUCGCGGCCUAUCAGCUUGUUGGUGAGGUAAUGGCUCACCAAGGCGUCGACGGGUAGCCGGCCUGAGAGGGUGACCGGCCACACUGGGACUGAGACACGGCCCAGACUCCUACGGGAGGCAGCAGUGGGGAAUAUUGCACAAUGGGCGGAAGCCUGAUGCAGCAACGCCGCGUGAGGGAUGACGGCCUUCGGGUUGUAAACCUCUUUUAGCAAGGAAGAAGCGAAAGUGACGGUACUUGCAGAAAAAGCGCCGGCUAACUACGUGCCAGCAGCCGCGGUAAUACGUAGGGCGCAAGCGUUAUCCGGAAUUAUUGGGCGUAAAGAGCUCGUAGGCGGUCUGUCGCGUCUGCUGUGAAAACCCGAGGCUCAACCUCGGGCCUGCAGUGGGUACGGGCAGACUAGAGUGCGGUAGGGGAGAUUGGAAUUCCUGGUGUAGCGGUGGAAUGCGCAGAUAUCAGGAGGAACACCGAUGGCGAAGGCAGAUCUCUGGGCCGUAACUGACGCUGAGGAGCGAAAGGGUGGGGAGCAAACACGC